rnacentral:rRNA from 1 species
AGUAAAUUGGUUAAGUUAGAAAGGGCGCACGGUGGAUGCCUUGGCACUAGGAGCCGAAGAAGGACGGGACUAACACCGAUAUGCUUUGGGGAGCUGUACGUAAGCGUUGAUCCAGAGAUUUCCGAAUGGGGGAACCCACUAUCUUUAGUCGGAUAGUAUCCUUACGUGAAUACAUAGCGUGAGGAAGGCAGACCCAGGGAACUGAAACAUCUAAGUACCUGGAGGAAGAGAAAGAAAAAUCGAUUUCCUGAGUAGCGGCGAGCGAAACGGAAAGAGCCCAAACCAAGAAGCUUGCUUCUUGGGGUUGUAGGACACUCUAUACGGAGUUACAAAAGAAAGUUAUAAAUGAAGCGGUCUGGAAAGGCCCGCCAAAGACGGUAACAGCCCGGUAGUUGAAAUAGCUUUCCCUCCAGAGUGGAUCCUGAGUACGGCGGAAC